AACGAACGCUGGCGGCGCGCCUAAUACAUGCAAGUCGAGCGAGAAGACGUAGCAAUACGUUUGUAAAGCGGCGAACGGGUGAGGAAUACAUGGGUAACCUACCCUCGAGUGGGGAAUAACUAGCCGAAAGGUUAGCUAAUACCGCGUACGCUCCUUGGACUUCGGCUCAGGGAGGAAAGCGAUACCGUGGGUAUCGCGCUCUUGGAUGGGCUCAUGUCCUAUCAGCUUGUUGGGAGGUACGCUCACCAGCUCGACGGUGCUGGUCUGAGAGGACGAUCA
rnacentral:rRNA from 1 species